GUUUGAGCAAGAAUGGGAUUUGGCUGUCGUCAAUGCUCUGACUGCAUCUUGUUGCAAUGUGAUGGUUCUUGGGCUUCUGGCACCAUGCCGCUCAUAUGGGAGCACAUCCCGAUUUGACUUCCAGAAUGCAAUUGAGAAACUUCCCAACAACAUUUUUGAGAAGAGUUAUCCUUUGAGACAGUUUGAUCUACAAAAACGAAUCAG
rnacentral:misc_RNA from 1 species